rnacentral:rRNA from 1 species
CCUACGGGAGGCAGCAGUGGGGAAUAUUGGGCAAUGGGGGAAACUCUGACCCAGCAACGCCGCGUGAAUGAUGAAGGUCUUCGGAUUGUAAAGCUCCUUUCUUAGGGAAGAAGAAAGUGACGGUACCUUAGGAAUAAGCCUCGGCUAACUACGUGCCCGCAGCAGCGGUAAUACGUAGGAGGCAAGCGUUAUCCGGAAGGACUGGGCGUAAGGGGUGGGUAGGUGGUUUGAUAAGUUAGGAGCGCAACUCCGGAGCUCAACUUCGGAACUACUACUAAGACUGUUGGACUGGAGUGCAGGAGGGGCAAGCGGAAUUCCUAGUGUAGCGGUGAAAUGCGUAGAUAUUAGGAGGAACACCAGUGGCGAAGGCGGCUUACUGGACAGUAACUGACGCUGAGGCACGAAAGCGUGGGGAGCAAACAGGAUUAGAUACCCCUGUAGUC